rnacentral:rRNA from 1 species
CGUAGGGUGCAAGCGUUAUCCGGAAUUAUUGGGCGUAAAGAGCUCGUAGGCGGUUUGUCGCGUCUGCUGUGAAACCCCGAGGCUCAACCUUGGGCCUGCAGUGGGUACGGGCAGACUAGAGUGCGGUAGGGGAGAUUGGAAUUCCUGGUGUAGCGGUGGAAUGCGCAGAUAUCAGGAGGAACACCGGUGGCGAAGGCGGAUCUCUGGGCCUUACCUGACGCUGAGGAGCGAAAGCAUGGGGAGCAAACAGGAUUAGAUACCCUGGUAGUCCAUGCCGUAAACGUUGGGCGCUAGGUGUGAGGGACAUUCCACGUCCUUUGUGCCGCAGCUAACGCAUUAAGCGCCCCGCCUGGGGAGUACGGCCGCAAGGCUA